rnacentral:snRNA from 1 species
CAGGCUUCUUGAUCUUUUGACUAAGAUCAAGUGCAAUAUCUAUUCUUAUCCGUUUGAUAUCUGGUAAAAGUUUACAGAGCUAUAUAUUCAACAAUAGUUUUGGAUCUCUGAUUUGUUUAUGUGGCCAGAACUUGGUGGUACCCAAAAACAAUCACAGCUCUG